rfam:Enterobacter aerogenes KCTC 2190, complete genome.
UAAAAGGCCCUUUUCAGGGCCUUUUAAUUAAUCAAUGAAAUUUAAAU